rnacentral:tRNA from 1 species
GCUCUUCUAGUAUACUAAUUACAAUUGACUUCCAAUCUCUAAAAUCUGGCAAAGCCCCAGAGAAGAGCA